CCGAGUUCUAAAGUCCCCACGCACCCACCCGGACUCAGAGUCUCCUCAGACGCCGAGAUGCGGGCCAUGGCGCCCCGAACCCUCCUCCUGCUGCUCUCGGGGGCCCUGGCCCCGACCGAGACCUGGGCCGGUGAGUGCGGGGUCGGGAGGGAAAGGGCCUCUGCGGAGAGGAGCGAGCGGACCGCAGGCGGGGGCGCAGGACCCGGGGAGCCGCGCCGGGAGGAGGGUCGGGCGGGUCUCAGCCCCUCCUCGCCCCCAGGCUCCCACUCCAUGAGGUAUUUCAGCACCGCCGUGUCCCGGCCCGGCCGCGGGGAGCCCCGCUUCAUCGCAGUGGGCUACGUGGACGACACCCAGUUCGUGCGGUUCGACAGCGACGCCGUGAGUCCGAGGGUGGAGCCGCUGGUGCCAUUGAUAGAGCAGGAGGGGCCGGAGUAUUGGGACCAGGAGACACAGAAAGCCAAGACCCAGGCACAGAAUGACCGAGUGAGCCUGCGGAACCUGCGCGGCUACUACAACCAGAGCGAGGACGGGUCUCACACCUGGCAGAGGAUGUAUGGCUGCGACGUGGGGCCCGACGGGCGCCUUCUCCGUGGGUAUUGCCAGUUCGCCUACGACGGCAAGGAUUACAUCGCCCUGAACGAGGACCUGAGCUCUUGGACCGCCGCGGACACCGCGGCUCAGAUCACCCAGCGCAAGUGGGAGGCGGCCCGUGAGGCGGAGCAGUUGAGAGCCUACCUGGAGGGCCUGUGCGUGGAGUCGCUCCGCAGAUACCUGGAGAACGGGAAGGAGACAUUGCAGCGCGCGGACUGCCCAAAGACACACGUGACCCACCACCCCGUCUCUGAACAUGAGACUAUCCUGAGAUGCUGGGCCCUGGGCUUCUACCCUGCGGAGAUCACACUGACCUGGCAGCGGGAUGGGGAGGACCAAACUCAGGACACCGAGCUUGUGGAGACCAGGCCAGCAGGAGAUGGAACCUUCCAGAAGUGGGCAGCGGUGGUGGUGCCUUCUGGAGAAGAGCAGAGAUACACAUGCCAUGUGCAGCACGAGGGGCUGCCGGAGCCCCUCAC
rnacentral:sRNA from 1 species